ACUCAAAGGAAUUGACGGGGGCCCGCACAAGCAGUGGAGUAUGUGGUUUAAUUCGAAGCAACGCGAAGAACCUUACCAGGGCUUGACAUCCCUCGAAUUACGUAGAAAUACGUAAGACCUACGGGACGAGGAGACAGGUGGUGCAUGGUUGUCGUCAGCUCGUGUCGUGAGAUGUUGGGUUAAGUCCCGCAACGAGCGCAACCCCUGUUGUUAGUUGCCAUCAAGUAAAGUUGGGCACUCUAACGAGACUGCCGGUGAGAAAUCGGAGGAAGGUGGGGACGACGUCAAAUCAUCAUGCCCCUUAUGUCCUGGGCAACACACGUACUACAAUGGCUACAACAGAGGGAAGCGAAGCUGUAAGGCGGAGCGAAUCCCAGAAAAGUAGUCCCAGUUCGGAUUGUGGGCUGCAACUCGCCCACAUGAAGCAGGAAUUGCUAGUAAUGGCAGGUCAGCAUACUGCCGUGAAUACGUUCCCGGGCCUUGUACACACCGCCCGU
rnacentral:rRNA from 1 species